AGCCAUGGUACAGCAGUGGUUAAAGCACUUGGCUGCCAUCCAAAAGGUUGGUGGUUCGAACCCACCAGUGGCUG
rnacentral:tRNA from 1 species